rnacentral:rRNA from 1 species
UCUACGGGCGGCAGCAGUGGGGAAUAUUGGGCAAUGGGCGCAAGCCUGACCCAGCAACGCCGCGUGAAGGAAGAAGGCUUUCGGGUUGUAAACUUCUUUUCUCAGGGACGAAGCAAGUGACGGUACCUGAGGAAUAAGCCACGGCUAACUACGUGCCAGCAGCCGCGGUAAUACGUAGGUGGCAAGCGUUAUCCGGAUUUACUGGGUGUAAAGGGCGUGUAGGCGGGAAAGCAAGUCAGAUGUGAAAACCAUGGGGUCAACCUGUGGCCUGCAUUUGAAACUGUUUUUCUUGAGUACUGGAGAGGCAGACGGAAUUCCUAGUGUAGCGGUGAAAGGCGUAGAUAUUAGGAGGAACACCAGUGGCGAAGGCGGUCUGCUGGACAGCAACUGACGCUGAGGCGCGAAAGCGUGGGGAGCAAACAGGAUUAGAUACCCUGGUAGUC